GGGGAUGUAGCUCAGUUGGGAGAGUGCUUGUCUAGCAUGCGUGAUGCCCUGGGUUCGAUCCCCAGCAUCUUCA